UUUUUUUUUCCUCCUUCUUCUUCUUCCUGAGACAUGGCCCGGGCAGUGGCUCCUGGAAGAGGAACAAGUGUGGGAAAAGGGA
ensembl:miRNA Mir1903 microRNA 1903